rnacentral:rRNA from 1 species
UACGUAGGCAGCGAGCGUUGUUCGGAGUUAUUGGGCGUAAAGAGCUCGUAGGCGGUUUGUCGCGUCGGCCGUGAAAUCUCCACGCUUAACGUGGAGCGUGCGGUCGAUACGGGCAGACUUGAGUUCGGUAGGGGAGACUGGAAUUCCUGGUGUAGCGGUGAAAUGCGCAGAUAUCAGGAGGAACACCGGUGGCGAAGGCGGGUCUCUGGGCCGAUACUGACGCUGAGGAGCGAAAGCGUGGGGAGCGAACAGG